rnacentral:lncRNA from 1 species
CCCAAUUAAGUGCGCGCACCAACUUGGGAAGCGCACAUCUGAAGUAAAUUAUAACCACGCAUGUGAACAACGCCCUGGACGAACAAAUGGCAGAAGGAGAUAUCUAUAUGUUUUUUCCAGGGUGCUCAAACGAGGAAAGGAAUGUACUUAUAUUUUCACUGAAUCCUGAAACCAUUACUGAAAGCAAGUGGGAGAAAUUCAUAAGAAUGACAAAAGAGAAAAGCAUAUGCAGGGUAGAAGUUGGAGAAAAGACUCUACUUUUUAC